ensembl:lncRNA
GUCAGGACUGGGUCAAGCAGAAACCAAGGGCCAGGACACUCAAGCCUGGUUUCCCACAUGGGUAGUAGGGACCCAAGUACUUGGCCCAUCUUCUGCUGCCUUCCCAAGUGCAUUGGCAGGGAGCUGAAUCAGAAGCAGAGCAGCCAGAACUCAAAACCAGCCUUCUGAAAUGGGAUGCCAGCAUUGCAAUCAAUGGCUUAUCCCAUUGUGCCACAAUGCCGGCUCCUGUCAGCCACUUUCAGGCUCCCCAGGAGUUACAGGUCUGAAAGACAUCUGGGACCUUGAAAGGGUAAGUGGAAAGGGAAAGAGAUGGGUACAGGUAAGCAAUGGGAAAAUGCAGAAAAAGAAGAAGCUCUUUUUUCUUUUCUUUUUUUAAAUCUGACAGAGUUAUAGACGCCCAUAUGGGAUGCCAGCGCUGCAGGCGGAGGAUUAACCAAGUGAGCCACGGUGCCGGCCCCAAGAAGCUCUUUUUUCCACUAGCGUUUCUCAAGGAAAAUAUGUUUGAACUAUACCAGGCCAGCUCCCUCUAGAGUCUCACUGGUGGCCCCCCAGACUCACAUAGAUGAUGAACCUAAAGCCCAGAAAAAGGAGAGGAAAGUGGAUGCCACAGGCUGACCCAAAGCAGGAGGCUCAAGAAGGCAUCUUCCAAGUUGACCAUGUCCAGUCACACAUCAAUAAACUGACAACGUCCAAGACCAGAAUUUCUGACAGUAAUUGGUGGAUUCUGCUCCCAGUGUUGAUAAUUAAGGCCAUCUGCUUCCAAGUGUCAUCUCAGAGGGAAACGAAAUCCCCAUGGCAAGCUCAAAAACAGCAUCAGGUUUUUGGAGACAAUCCCACCAAGGUCAAGCUGCCAUCGUCCCUGCUGUCAUCCUCAUGCACACACUUGCGUGGCAUUGGAGAGGCUCCACCCAGCUCUCCUGGGCUUCAGCCCAUGUCAUACCCUGAAGCAGUCUGGGAAGCAGGAAACUGACAUGCAGUAAGGUCAAAGGUUUGUAUGGAACAAAUGGAGGGCUUGAGCUUUGACACCCUGAGCUUUCUUCCAUGGUGGAGCAUUGUGCUAUGAGCAGGGCUCUGCACUAAGACUCCCUGGAUGUGAAUGCUGGCCCUGCCAUCCACCACCCAGGUAACCUUGGGCCAGUUACUUACCUCUCUUGUCUUGGUUUAUUCAUCUGCAAAAUGGAAAUAGAACAGCUGAGUCAGAGUCAUUGUAAUUGCAGAGUAAGUGAACACACAUAAAGUGCACAAACCAACGUGGAAAGCACUNNNNNNNNNNNNNNNNNNNNNNNNNNNNNNNNNNNNNNNNNNNNNNNNNNNNNNNNNNNNNNNNNNNNNNNNNNNNNNNNNNNNNNNNNNNNNNNNNNNNAAUGAGGGCUUGAUGUUCAUGUGGGAGGCAGACAGUAAGGGGACAGGAGCCAAAGCUCAGGUCGAUCUCCCUGAUCGGAAUCUGGGGUGGGUGUUGUGGUUUCGGGAAGAAGACAGGCUGGUAUGCCCUGAUAGGGUGAGUUCUGCCUGGGGGUGCUUCAGCACCGGCUCUUCCUGCUCAGUGGAGCCACCACCCCUGCUCCUGGUUCCCGUCAUGCUCUGGACUGCUCGGCUCUGUGGUGGUGAAACAUUGGUUAUUUAAGGUCAAGCGCCGCUUGCUCCUCCAGGCAUACCCAGGUUCUGUUGGCUAGAGGCCCAUCACCUGUGUUAAGAUCUUUGCCAACAAUUAAACAUGGCUCAAGUGCUUAGCCACACCUCCUCUCCCAAGUGUUUCCAGUCCAUGAGGAUUGAAGCUGGAGCUGCUUCAGAUCCAGGUGAAACCACACAGAGAAGAAUCUUAUUCAAAAUCUCAGCCUGGGAAUCCUUCAACCGCAUACAGUAUGCUCCAGACAUUCCGACCCAGGCACACUCUCUGGAACCCAGAGCACCCUGAGCAGAGCUCCAGCCAAGCUGGGAGAGCCCCCUCCGCCUUUUACUGACAGAGCAGGCCUGGUGUGAGCUGGUUCUGUGGUCACAGCCUUAGUGAGAGCAUAACACGCUGCCUCUCCCAUGUCUCUCCCGACCCGUGUCUCCCAGGGAGUGUUCGGCAUGAAAACUAGGGGACGUCUCAGAAAAGUCACAUGAUCGGGGCCAGAUUUAACAACAAGGGAAGAAGAAGUCUCAGCGGUAAUUCUGGGUACCAGUUUUCUUACGCUCUCUUUAAAACGCCACCCAGGCUAGAGUAGUACUGGUUUGGCAUUCAAGUGUUUAAGAACGCUGGUGAAGGUCUCCUGUGGACUGUUCAUGGGAACAACACACAGAUGGAAAAGCGUCCAUUACUGCCGGCUCUUAUCUCUGGCAGAGCUUGGAAGCUCUCUGCCUCCCUGGUCUCGUCAUUAGUCACGGAAUAAAAGGCAACAAUGGAUUAUAUUUCCA